AGCUGGAGGAGCUUAAUUAGGACUUAGCUAUAGCAGCUGUGGAAAAAGUGAGGUAUACCAACUGGGAGAAGAAGGAUCAUGACAGGAUGACGAUUGCAGGCUGGAAGCCAACUUUUAUGAUAAUAUCAGAAAAAACAAUGCUUAACAUUGACGUCAAGGCACAAGCAGUCCAAAAAUUCUGAUGGCAACCGAUAUUUUGCUCAACAUCCAGAUGAUGGACAAAACCCUAAGGAGACACAAGAAAUUCCACCAGGAAUAUGUCUAUAUGGUUGACUAGUCCAUCUGCAGGACUUUUGAUGUAAUUCAAAACCAGACAAAUCAGAUAUUUGUUCUGAAGGCAAUAUAAAUUCCUCUGUGGGGAUUUUGUGGGCAGUGGAAUGAAUGUUGUUCACCAUGGUGCUCCCACAAGAUCUUGUGUCAUGGAUAGUAAUAUAGUUGCUAGUAAUAUAACUUCACACUGCAUUUUCUGGUAAGGAUAAUGACAAUAUUGUAGUCAAUAUUCACAGUUGGUCAGUUCCUUACUCUAGAGAACAAAAUUCUUACUUCAAGGUACAAACAGUCCUUUCUCUCAUUUUUUUUCCCUCUUAUUACAUUUGAGCCAAUAUUAGAUUAAAGGUACAUUGGUA